rnacentral:rRNA from 1 species
UCUCUUGAAUAGAUUUGAGGUCGUGCCUGCCCACUGAAAGAAUAAUGAAGGGCCGCGGUAUUUUGACCGUGCAAAGGUAGCAUAAUCAUUAGUCUUUUAAUUGAGGACUGGAAUGAAUGGUUUGACGAAAUAACAACUGUCUUUUUAGUAGUUUUUGAAUUUUACUUUUAAGUCAAAAGGCUUAAAUGUUAUUAAGGGACGAGAAGACCCUAUAGAUCUUUAUUUCUCAUUAAAGGUUGAUUCUAUAGGAGUUUAUUAUUUCCAUUAAUGAGAAAUUGGGUUGGGGUGACGUGAGAAAAAAGAAACUUCUUAUAAGUAAAACAUAGAUUUAUGGUGAGAGGAUCCUUUAUUAUGGAUUAAAGAUUAAGAUACCUUAGGGAUAACAGCGUUAUUUUGUUUGAGAGUUCUUAUCGACAACAAAGAUUGCGACCCUCGAUGUUGGAUUAAGAUUACGUAUUGGUGUAGAAGCUAAUAGUAGUUGGUCUGUUC